rnacentral:rRNA from 1 species
UACGUAGGGUGCAAGCGUUGUCCGGAAUUAUUGGGCGUAAAGAGCUCGUAGGUGGCCUGUCGCGUCGGCUGUGAAAACUCGGGGCUCAACUCCGAGCUUGCAGUCGAUACGGGCAGACUAGAGUCCGGCAGGGGAGACUGGAAUUCCGGGUGUAGCGGUGGAAUGCGUAGAGAUCCGGAAGAACACCAGUGGCGAAGGCGGCCCGCUGGGCAGUGGCUGACGCUGAGGCGCGACAGCGUGGGGAGCAAACAGG